rnacentral:rRNA from 1 species
GUCUACGGCCUUGCCACCCUGAACGUGCCCAAUCUCAUCUGAUCUCAGAAGCUAAGCAGGGUCGGGCCUGGUUGGUACUUGGAUGGGAGACCCCUUAGGAAUACCAGAUGCAGUAGGCG